AGAGUUUGAUCAUGGCUCAGGACGAACGCUGGCGGCGUGCUUAACACAUGCAAGUCGAACGGAAAGGCCCCUUCGGGGGUACUCGAGUGGCGAACGGGUGAGUAACACGUGGGUGAUCUGCCCUGCACUUUGGGAUAAGCCUGGGAAACUGGGUCUAAUACCGAAUAGGACCGCAUGCUUCAUGGUGUGUGGUGGAAAGCUUUUGCGGUGUGGGAUGGGCCCGCGGCCUGUCAGCUUGUUGGUGGGGUAAUGGCCUACCAAGGCGACGACGGGUAGCCGGCCUGAGAGGGUGUCCGGCCACACUGGGACUGAGAUACGGCCCAGACUCCUACGGGAGGCAGCAGUGGGGAAUAUUGCACAAUGGGCGCAAGCCUGAUGCAGCGACGCCGCGUGGGGGAUGACGGCCUUCGGGUUGUAAACCUCUUUCAGUAUCGGCGAAGCUCCAGGAUUUUUCUUGGGGUGACGGUAGGUACAGAAGAAGCACCGGCCAACUACGUGCCAGCAGCCGCGGUAAUACGUAGGGUGCGAGCGUUGUCCGGAAUUACUGGGCGUAAAGAGCUCGUAGGUGGUUUGUCACGUUGUCUGUGAAAACUCACAGCUUAACUGUGGGCGUGCGGGCGAUACGGGCAGACUGGAGUACUGUAGGGGAGACUGGAAUUCCUGGUGUAGCGGUGGAAUGCGCAGAUAUCAGGAGGAACACCGGUGGCGAAGGCGGGUCUCCGGGCAGUAACUGACGCUGAGGAGCGAAAGCGUGGGGAGCGAACAGGAUUAGAUACCCUGGUAGUCCAA
rnacentral:rRNA from 1 species